GCCGCGUGAGUGAUGUAUGGUUUUCUUGGAUCGUAAAGCUCUGUUGUUAGGGAAGAACAAGUGCCGUUCAAUAGGGCGGCACCUUGACGGUACUAACCAGAAAGCCACGGCUAACUACGUGCCAGCAGCCGCGGUAAUACGUAGGUGGCAAGCGUUGUCCGGAAUUAUUGGGCGUAAAGGGCUCGCAGGCGGUUUCUUAAGUCUGAUGUGAAAGCCCCCGGCUCAACCGGGGAGGGUCAUUGGAAACUGGGGAACUUGAGUGCAGAAGAGGAGAGUGGAAUUCCACGUGUAGCGGUGAAAUGCGUAGAGAUGUGGAGGAACACCAGUGGCGAAGGCGACUCUCUGGUCUGUAACUGACGCUGAGGAGCGAAAGCGUGGGGAGCGAACAGGAUUAGAUACCCUGGUAGUCCACGCCGUAAACGAUGAGUGCUAAGUGUUAGGGGGUUUCCGCCCCUUAGUGCUGCAGCUAACGCAUUAAGCACUCCGCCUGGGGAGUACGGUCGCAAGACUGAAACUCAAAGGAAUUGACGGGGGCCCGCACAAGCGGUGGAGCAUGUGGUUUAAUUCGAAGCAACGCGAAGAACCUUACCAGGUCUUGACAUCCUCUGACAAUCCUAGAGAUAGGACGUCCCCUUCGGGGGCAGAGUGACAGGUGGUGCAUGGUUGUCGUCAGCUCGUGUCGUGAGAUGUUGGGUUAAGUCCCGCAACGAGCGCAACCCUUGAUCUUAGUUGCCAGCAUUCAGUUGGGCACUCUAAGGUGACUGCCGGUGACAAACCGGAGGAAGGUGGGGAUGACGUCAAAUCAUCAUGCCCCUUAUGACCUGGGCUACACACGUGCUACAAUGGACAGAACAAAGGGCAGCGAAACCGCGAGGUUAAGCCAAUCCCACAAAUCUGUUCUCAGUUCGGAUCGCAGUCUGCAACUCGACUGCGUGAAGCUGGAAUCGCUAGUAAUCGCGGAUCAGCAUGCCGCGAUCGUUAA
rnacentral:rRNA from 1 species